rnacentral:rRNA from 1 species
UCAUGGCUCAGGAUGAACGCUAGCGGCAGGCUUAACACAUGCAAGUCAGGGGCAGCAUGAACCGACUUCGGGAAGGUUUGACGGCGACCGGCGCAAGGGUGCGUAACGCGUGAGCAACUUGCCCUUAUCAGGGGGAUAACCGGUGGAAACGCCGACUAAUACCCCAUGGCAUCACAUCAAGGCAUCUUUUUGUGAUUAAAGAAAUUCGGAUAAGGAUAGGCUCGCGUGACAUUAGCUAGACGGCGGGGUAACGGCCCACCGUGGCGACGAUGUCUAGGGGUUCUGAGAGGAAGGUCCCCCACACUGGAACUGAGACACGGUCCAGACUCCUACGGGAGGCAGCAGUGAGGAAUAUUGGUCAAUGGUCUGACGACUGAACCAGCCAUGCCGCGUGAAGGUCACGGCCCUAUGGGUCUUAAACUUCUUUUGCGAGGGAGCAAUAAGGUCUACGUGUAGUCCGAUGAGAGUACCUCGCGAAUAAGCAUCGACUAACUCCGUG